rnacentral:rRNA from 1 species
AAAUUGAAGAGUUUGAUCAUGGCUCAGAUUGAACGCUGGCGGCAGGCCUAACACAUGCAAGUCGAACGGUAACAGGAAACAGCUUGCUGUUUCGCUGACGAGUGGCGGACGGGUGAGUAAUGUCUGGGAAACUGCCUGAUGGAGGGGGAUAACUACUGGAAACGGUAGCUAAUACCGCAUAACGUCGCAAGACCAAAGAGGGGGACCUUCGGGCCUCUUGCCAUCGGAUGUGCCCAGAUGGGAUUAGCUUGUUGGUGGGGUAACGGCUCACCAAGGCGACGAUCCCUAGCUGG